rnacentral:rRNA from 1 species
UGGGGAAUAUUGGACAAUGGGCGAAAGCCUGAUCCAGCCAUGCCGCGUGUGUGAAGAAGGUCUUCGGAUUGUAAAGCACUUUAAGUUGGGAGGAAGGGCAGUAAAUUAAUACUUUGCUGUUUUGACGUUACCGACAGAAUAAGCACCGGCUAACUCUGUGCCAGCAGCCGCGGUAAUACAGAGGGUGCAAGCGUUAAUCGGAAUUACUGGGCGUAAAGCGCGCGUAGGUGGUUAGUUAAGUUGGAUGUGAAAUCCCCGGGCUCAACCUGGGAACUGCAUUCAAAACUGACUGACUAGAGUAUGGUAGAGGGUGGUGGAAUUUCCUGUGUAGCGGUGAAAUGCGUAGAUAUAGGAAGGAACACCAGUGGCGAAGGCGACCACCUGGACUGAUACUGACACUGAGGUGCGAAAGCGUGGGGGAGCAAACAGGAUUAGAUACCCUGGUAGU